ACUUUUUAAUUUCAACUAUACCUUUGAUAUCGAUGUAGCGAUAUUCAUCUACAAAGCAUUAAAUUUAAAAUAUCUUCACAAUUAUAUCCGAUUUCGAUUUACAAAUAAUCGAUAGAAAUCGCUCGAAUGUUAUCAUUUUUAUGAAAACCACGUUUCGAUAUUGAUUACAAAACUUGCGAUUAAAUGUGAUCCCGCAAAACCGCAAGCUCGCUUAUCCGUUAUACUGUUCUUUGAAAGGCAAUGUCUAAACAUCUCAAACUAUACAGAAAUAUGGAGGCAAUUAGCCGCGAGAGGUCGUUGUUACUCAUCUUGGUUAAUUCAUGAAUCUCUCACUCGCGUCUCCUAACGCACGUGUCGAGUAAGUAAUAUACGCAUGAAUCUUCCGCGAAGGUUAUGUACCUUCGAACGGGAGAGCAUUGACGCAAUAACUGGCACGUGAAAGAUGAAAAAUAACGAAAUAGGAAAUUGAAAGGUAACGAGAGGAAAAAGGAGAAAGAAUAAGAUGUGAAAAACAAGUUGUAAGAGCGAUUUUCAUAUAACGAAUACUUAAACAUAACCUCUAUUAUCAAAGCAAUUACUGAAAAAAUACGUUAUUAAUAUUUAUCAAUAUUUAUUACAACACUCAAGGAAAUAAUUAUCAGAAAUAAAAAAAUGAAGAGUUACUGGUGUACGAUCUAGUGAUAGUAGUAAACUAUGAAAAGACAUUGGUAACGAUAUUAACAAUGCUGAUAUUCCAAAGUCGAUAGAAAUGAUCUAUGACCUCUGCAUAUUUAUUUUAUCUUCGAUCGGUCAAUUGUCCAUUUUCUUCAUUCGGUUCUCAUACUAUUCGUGUUUUCAGUUGUUCGAAACAGUUAGUGACAGUGCGUGUGUAGUCUACAUUAUAUUUGCGGUUGGCGGUAUGCGAAAUCAAUGGAGGACGACGAGAUAUAGUUGUAUACGGUGAAAUUCUGUAAUAACACGAUACAGUACGUUGCACAAUUCACGUAUCGUGGGACAUGCUAAAAUAUACCGAUACACCUUGAAGUUUUUAUCGAAAACCGGAAAUGAUAAUCCAAUUAUUUGGACGAGC